rnacentral:rRNA from 1 species
GACGAACGCUGGCGGCGUGCUUAACACAUGCAAGUCGAACGGAAAGGCCCCCACUUUUUUGGUGGGGGUGCUCGAGUGGCGAACGGGUGAGUAACACGUGGGCGAUCUGCCCUGUACUUCGGGAUAAGCUUGGGAAACUGGGUCUAAUACCGGAUAGGACCAUGGUUUAGUGUCUCAUGGUGGAAAAAUUAUUGUUUUGGUGCAGGAUGAGCUCGCGGCCUAUCAGCUUGUUGGUGGGGUAAUGGCCUACCAAGGCGUCGACGGGUAGCCGGCCUGAGAGGGUGGGCGGCCACAUUGGGACUGAGAUACGGGCCAGACUCCUACGGGAGGCAGCAGUGGGGAAUAUUGCACAAUGGACGCAAGCCUGAUGGAGGGACGCCGCGUGGGGGAUGACGGCGUUCGGGUUGUAGGCUCCUUUCGUGAGGGACGAAGCCGCACCUUUUUUGGGUGUGGUGACGGUACCUUUGUUAAGAAGCACCGGCUAACUACGUG